rnacentral:lncRNA from 1 species
UGAACCAUUGCAAGGUAAGUAUUGGACAAGCGGCAGCAAAGCAAAACUCACUUUCAAGACAAGAAAGUAGACAUGCUUUUCAAACCUCAGCUGACAAGCACACUCAAACAAACACGUUUCGGUGAUACAACAUGGCACUGAAACUAAGCACAAACAACUAACAGAAACAAGAGACCACGAAAUCCGACUUGAUACAAUACUAGUAAGCUGAAAUUCCCUGGAUCAGGUAUUCAAAAGGAUCUUGCUACAUUAUACAGACUUGGCUAGAAUAAGACACGGUAAGUUGUUUUAGGUAACAUAUAAACACUGCCGACAACAUUUAUGGAAUGCGACAAAUUCAUUGACAACUAACAUCUGCAGCAGCCCUUCUUCACCUGGGGAAAACAAAAGCACUAAUCUAUUACUAACUUGAUACAGAUACAGAUAAAUUCUAACAGUAACAUCUAGGAGUAUGUAACAGUGUAUGAACAAAACAUGUCUACAAACUCAUGAUCAGCACAGCAACAUAAAGAAGAGCUAUACAAUACCCCGACCCCCACCCCCACCCCCUAAAAAGGAAGAGCUAUAUCAUAUUGCUGACUAUAUCUCCUCGAAAUACAGAUGGCAACAAAGUAAAUCUUCCAACCUUAUCACAUGAAUUUGUGAGGUGAUGGAGUUGAAUGAUGCAGCUGAUGCUUGUAGUAACGAAAUUGGCAACUAAUAUAUAUUGAUUGCAACUUAUAGAUUAUGAAACAGCUAAACCAAAGGGGAACUCUGGGGAUACAACGUCUGCAUAUCAUUUAUGAUCCAAAAAAGGGCAAUUUUUUACUUAGCAUCACCACCAUUUUAAUUUUUUCCUGUGUUAUUAGCAUGUGUGAAUCCCUAUAGUCGAAUGGACAGUAGUUUGAGGAUACAUGCUACCCACACUGGCCAUCAAAUAUUUUCCAAAGUGAAAAUCAAACAGUUCAAAUCUCACAAACUAUAUUCAGAAGAUUCUUACCUGUUACCAUUUCAGCACAUUAGAAGAUCUAACCAAACUAUCACCUUGUGUAUCAUGCAUCAUGUCAGCUCCAUCAAGUCCACCAGCAAUGGAUGUGCAUAGAAGCAUAAGGCAAUCAUUUAAUAAAGUUUCAACAAAAAUAUAAAUGGAUAUGAGAAGGCAACAGUGAG